rnacentral:rRNA from 1 species
GACGAACGCUGGCGGCGUGCUUAACACAUGCAAGUCGAGCGGUAAGGCCCUUUCGGGGGUACACGAGCGGCGAACGGGUGAGUAACACGUGGGUGACCUGCCCUCAGCUCUGGGAUAAGCCUGGGAAACCGGGUCUAAUACUGGAUAUGACUCCAUGACGCAUGUUGUGGGGUGGAAAGCCUUGUGCGGCUGAGGAUGGGCCCGCGGCCUAUCAGCUUGUUGGUGGGGUGAGGCCUACCAAGGCGACGACGGGUAGCCGGCCUGAGAGGGCGACCGGCCACACUGGGACUGAGACACGGCCCAGACUCCUACGGGAGGCAGCAGUGGGGAAUAUUGGACAAUGGGCGCAAGCCUGAUCCAGCGAUGCCGCGUGUGUGAAGAAGGCCUGC